rnacentral:rRNA from 1 species
GACGAACGCUGGCGGCGUGCUUAACACAUGCAAGUCGAACGGAAAGGCCCUGCUUUUGUGGGGUGCUCGAGUGGCGAACGGGUGAGUAACACGUGAGUAACCUGCCCUUGACUUUGGGAGAACUUUAGGAAACUGGGGCUAAUACCGGAUAGGAGCUCCUGCUGCAUGGUGUGGGUUGGAAAGUUUCGGCGGUUGGGGAUGGAAUAGCGGCUUAUGAGCUUGUUUGUUAGGUAGUGGCUGUCCAGGUCUUUGACGGCUAGCCUGCAUGAGAGGGUUGACGGCCACAUUGGGACUGAGAUAGGGCGCAGUCUCCUACGGGAGGCAGCAGUCGGGAAUCUUGCGCAAUGGCCGGACGCCUGAGGCAACAACCCUGCGUGCGGGAUGACGGCUUUCGGGUUGUAAACCGAUUUCGACUGUGACGAACCGGGAGUGACGGUAAUGGGUAAAGAAGCACCGGCUAACUACGUG